GACCUCGAUGGCUCAGUGGUAAAGUGCUUGCCUCUGAACCAAGAGGUUCCGGGUUCGAUCCCCGGUUGGGUCA